GCCGCUGUAGCUCAGUUGGUAGAGCAGAGGACUGAAAAUCCUCGUGUCAUCAGUUCAAAUCUGAUCGGCGGCA